GAUGAAGAACGUAGCGAAAUGCGAUAAGUAAUGUGAAUUGCAGAAUUCAGUGAAUCAUCGAAUCUUUGAACGCACAUUGCGCCCGCCAGUAUUCUGGCGGGCAUGCCUGUCUGAGCGUCAUUUCAACCCUCAUGCCCCUAGGGCGUGGUGUUGGGGAUCGGCCAAAGCCCGCGAGGGACGGCCGGGCCCUAAAUCUAGUGGCGGACCCGUCGUGGCCUCCUCUGCGAAGUAGUGAUAUUCCGCAUCGGAGAGCGAUGAGCCCCUGCCGUUAAACCCCCAACUUUCCAAGGUUGACCUCAGAUCAGGUAGGAAUACCCGCUGAACUUAAGCAUAUCAAUAAGCGGAGGA
rnacentral:misc_RNA from 1 species